CUCAUGGUUUCACGGUAUUGCAAUGAUAACAAUUUAAAACCCUUAGCGAGAAUCAAGUGGAGGACAAGUCUGGUGCCAGCACCCGCGGUAAUUCCAGCUCCACUAGCGUAUAUUAAAGUUGUUGCAGUUAAAAAGCUCGUAGUUGAACCUCUGUCUGGGGCUAGUUUUGGCUUUGUCAGGCUAGUUCUAGGCAUCCGCCUACAAGACUUAGAGGGCAUUCAGUUGUUCACUAGGAGGAGUAGGCAUUUUACUUUGAAAAAAUUAGAGUGUUUAAGGCAGGCAAUCGCCCGCAUAUAUUAGCAUGGAAUAAUAGAAUAGGACACUUUUCCAUUUCGUUGGUUAUUGGAAUCGUGUAAUGAUUAAUAGGGACAGUUGUGGGCAUUUGUAUUUAAUUGUCAGAGGUGAAAUUCUUGGAUUUAUUAAAGACAAACUAACGCGAAAGCAUUUGCCAAGGAUGUUUUCAUUAAUCAAGAACGAAAGUUAGGGGAUCAAAGACGAUCAGAUACCGUCCUAGUCUUAACUAUAAACUAUUCCGACUCAAUGUUUGACUGGCUUAUAUAACCAGUUGAGCGUUGUAUGAGAAAUCAAAGUCUUUAGGUUCUGGGGAGAGUAUGGUUGCAAAGCUGAAACUUAAAGGAAUUGACGGAAGAGCACAACCAGGAGUGGAUUCUGCGGCUUAAUUUGACUCAACACGGGGAAACUUACCAGGUUAAAACAAUAGUGGGAUUGACAGUUUGAGAGCGCUUUCUUGAUUGGUUGGGUGGUGGUGCAUGGCCGUUCUUAGUUGGUGGAGUGAUUUGUCUGCUUAAUUGCGUUAACGAACGAGACCUUAACCUGCUUACUAGACUGGCGAUCAUCAAUCGUUAGCUCUUCUUAGAGGGACUUUGGUUGUUUUAACUCCAAGGAAGUUUGAGGCAAUAACAGGUCUGUGAUGCCCUUAGUUAUCAUGGGCCGCACGCGUCAUACAAUGACUAGUUCAGAAAGAUUUCUCCUGACCCGAAAGGGGAUGGGUAAUCUUGAUAAUACUAGUCGUGUUAGGGAUCGAUCUUUGCAACUAUAGAUCUUGAACGAGGAAUUCCUAGUAAGUGCGGUUCAUCAGACCGUACUGAUUACGUCCCUGCUCUUUGUACACACCGCCCGUCGCUUCUACCGAGUGGGUGGUCCGGUGAGAUAAUUGAACUUCGCAGGUAACUGAGAGGAAAGAUUAUCAAACCUAUCCACCU
rnacentral:rRNA from 1 species